UACGGAGGAUCCAAGCGUUAUCCGGAUUUAUUGGGUUUAAAGGGUGCGCAGGCGGGAUAAUAAGUCAGUGGUGAAAGUUUGCAGCUUAACUGUAAAAUUGCCGUUGAAACUGUUAUUCUUGAGUACAGACAAGGUAGGCGGAAUGUAUUGUGUAGCGGUGAAAUGCUUAGAUAUAAUACAGAACCCCGAUUGCGAAGGCAGCUUACCGGGCUGUAACUGACGCUCAGGCACGAAAGCGUGGGGAUCAAACAGG
rnacentral:rRNA from 1 species